ensembl:lncRNA
AGCAGAUCCCUCCCGGAGAAAUCCAAGGCUGUAUUUCAUUUGAUUAAUGUGCUUGUUAAGCCUCAGCUAUGGCAAGAGGACAACAGAGAAGCUAACUGUGUCGUAGGCUUCAAAAGUACGAGAAUAAUUGAUGUGGGCUGAAGGGGUUUGUUUGCUUUUGUGUAUGGCUUUUUUAUGCAAUAGCAGACAGUUGAGAAAUAUGUCAGAUCACUAAUGCCGAAUUUUCAAGAAUAUUAGAAUACAGAAAGCUACAGACUAUUCAGCAACCAAAUUAGCUGGUGCCAAUCUCUGUCUACUCUCUUUAGCAUAGCCCUGAGAAUAGCAAUAAAUUAUUGCCAGCUCUACAAGCAUAUUCCAUGACUUUACAGCUCUGAUGGGAGUCCAGAAGACACCACAAGAGGGAAAUGUGGCUUGACACCCUAAGGAACCAGCUAGGAGCUGCUGUGACUUCUUUUUCUGCUACCUGAGAAAGUCUCCUCCAUUGUCUCAGGCUGACACUGAACUCAAGAACUGCUUUUUUCUCUGAUGUAUGGACAUUAAAAAAAAAAAAAAAAAAAAAGCAUUUGUUUUUCUGCACUCAGCAACUGAGAGAACAGAGACAAUGAGCUUGUCACCUCUGUGAUUGCAAUGGGCAAAGUUGCAGGGGGUGUCAUGACAAUGCAAGUCUGUUGAACUGAGUGGGCUACAGCAGGUCUGCAUGACAUUAGCAUCCCCAGCAGGACUGAGGAGCUGUGUGCUCUGAUAUCACUUGUUUUCUGUUGCAGCCAUUUCCAUCUUCUAUUAACAUUCUUCUGAGAUGAGCCCUUAUUAUUAUAAACCCAAAUUCCAUAGGGCAGCAUUUUUCAUAUAGCUGCGAUGUUCCAGAAGCCGUAUCAUCUCGGUGUUUAUUCUGAGACCCCUCUCUGCAUAAAGAAACUGAGAGUUGAUUUUCCUGGAGAAGACAGCACUGAAUUGCUGAUUUUCUUUACACCACGUUAAUACUGUAAGGUGCUGAGAAGGUAUCUGGGAGCACUCAGUAGCAGUGCUCAAAGCAACUAGCGGCUAUGCUGCCACUAACACUAGAAAGGGAAGAUAAAGAAUUUCAUUUCAUGUAUUCAUUCACAGUACUCAAUGUAUGCAGAUGGCGAUUCAAAGGAAGAAAUUGGUCAGGGUCAAAUCUCGGCCUUGAAGACACAUACAGGAAAUCAUUUUGGGAAGUUGGAGUCAUCUUCAUACAGAGCCUGCAGAAGAGAGGUUUAGAGCUGCAUCAGGGAUGCCUGCCUGCAAGAAGCCUGUACAAUACUGAGGCAAUUCCUUCAAAUAACAAAAUGCUUUUACAUAAGGAAAGAAAAGGAAAGGGAAGCACAUCUGCCUCGUACUACUGGGUCAGCACCAUUCUUACACAGCCCAAAGAACCACAUGUCCUCACAAUACUUAGGCAUGAUGGAUGAGCUUUGCAGCUGGCAAGGAAAAAGUGAAUAGCUAGUCAAAAUGGCCUUUGUUUUCACAUACAUGGGUUGCUUUAUCUUCCUCCAAAAAAAGAAAACGAGGGACAGCAAGCAGUAAGAGAAGUAUUGGGAAUGUUCUGAGCCAGCAAGAUACAAAGUGAACGGAUUGCUUUUUAGGGCAUGGUGACCCACAGGAAUAAAUAGAAGUAACAACACGCUUCCUUUAGAGGCUUUGUAUUUGGAUGGAAAUCACAGUGUCCCUGUUAUUAUGUAGGCUCAGAAAUAAAAGGCAAGGUCUUGCCUCCGGCUGGUGAGGGCCUCCAAUUCUGUCCUCCUCAGAUUCUAUCUACCCUGUUUUGUUUUUUUCCAUAUGAUUGUUCUUUGGUCACCUCCAAGCUGAAAUUAGAGUACUUCAUUCCUUCUUUAAGGAAGAACUUUCUUUUGUAGAUUUAUGCAUAAAAAUCGGCAUAUGUAUGUCUUGAUUUUUUCAACUUUAACGGCUUGAUGCAAAGAUGAGCAGAUGUGCAAUACGUCUCCUUAUGUUUCUGUUCAGACUUCUUUUCAGAAGAAAAGCAGGAAUGGGCUCUGAGAACUCUUGCUACUGAAGACAGUGCUGACAUCUCCUUACUUUAAACUCAGCUAUGGGGCAUGCAUUAACAUAAGGCACUAAUAAGCCCGGACUCUUUGGGAAGGUGUGAAGCUAUACAUCAUCUCCUCACAGCUCUGUUCAGUUGUAUCCAGUCCAUGCAGGUCAGAUCAAUAUGUGCUUAUGCUGAAGCUUCAGCUUGAGGGAUACAGGAGCAAGAGGUUGUGUGUUUCAAGAAAAGAGGACAGGAGCAGGGACACCUCUCUAAAUCCUAUGAAACAGGCAACAGUGAAGCUGCGUUCUGUCUUCCAUCUCUAGCCCCCAGGACAGAGGAAUUGAGUCUCCUUAAAACAUCACGGGUUUUCUCAGGGAUGUUUGGUGGAAAUCACGUAAGAAACAUUUGACAUCAACUUGCUCUAUCCUAAAAACUUAUGAAGAAGAGCUGUCAAAAAAAGUGGCCAUCACCCAGAUUUCGUUGAUUAAAGCCACAUGAAUAAAA